rnacentral:misc_RNA from 1 species
GGUAUUUCUCAAUUCUGAUAGAUUAUGAAUCUGAAACCUGACAGAUUCUACAAUCUGGCAAUUUUAACUUUCUCUACGCUAAAGGUGCAUCCAUAGAUUUCAGAGGCAGAGCAGGGGAAGAUUUGUGUAGUGAUGGACUGCCAAAUGUUAACUCACGGCACAAUACAAGCAGCUUCCGCUGCGGAUGAUGGUUCAAGUUUUGUUUUUUGAGCAGUUACAACUCUGCC